rnacentral:lncRNA from 1 species
ACAUGCUCUGAUUCCCAAUUUAAAAGAUCCCUCUAGCUGGAGCAUAAAUCCUGAAACAGGCCCACUUUUCUCUUUAACAUGUUUGGAAACACAUUAAAAUAGAACCGUAAUCAAGCAACCCAAUCCUUAAAUUUUUCUCCCAGUGAGUAUCUGGAAAACAGGUGCAGAGAUGGGUCAUUUGAGACACCAUGGAAAUCUGGUUAAUCCUGCCUGCUUUCCUU